CCUACGGGUGGCAGCAGUGGGGAAUAUUGGGCAAUGGGCGCAAGCCUGACCCAGCAACGCCGCGUGAAGGAAGAAGGCUUUCGGGUUGUAAACUUCUUUUGUCAGGGAAGAGUAGAAGACGGUACCUGACGAAUAAGCCACGGCUAACUACGUGCCAGCAGCCGCGGUAAUACGUAGGUGGCAGGCGUUGUCCGGAUUUGCUGGGUGUAAAGGGCGUGUAGACGUGUUGACAAGUCAGAUGUGAAAUCCUGCUGCGUAACCGGAGUACUGCAUUUGAAACUGUUGAUCUUGAGUACUGGAGAGGCAGACGGAAUGCGUAGUGUAGCGGUGAAAUGCGUAGAUAUUAGGCGGAACACCAGUGGCGAAGGCGGUCUGCUGGACAGCAACUGACGGUGAGGCGCGAAAGCGUGGGGAGCAAACAGGAUUAGAUACCCGGGUAGUC
rnacentral:rRNA from 1 species